AGUAUUAGAUUUAUUAAUUUAUUUAAUAAAUCUAUAAUGUAUUUCAUAUGUUUUUAAAUUGUAAAUAUAAAUGCAUUAUUAAAUCUUUAAAGGUCACCCAAGUAGAACAGGCAGUACCUGUACUUAAUUAUUAUUGCCUUGGGUUAUGAAGGUUCUGGUCUUUGGUCUUUGGUUUGAAGUAUUCACUGUUUUCAUUGGUUUGGACUUUGUAAGGUUGUGUUUUAUUGGUUCAGUAUUUUUCCCUCCAAAAAAAAGUUGUUUGUUAUGGUCAUUCUUUGUCCAGUAUUUGUCCAGAAAGGGUUGUAUUUACGAAGUUUUAUAAUUAUGACCUUCUGACAUUGACAGAGACAAUACUUUUCUCUCUUAAGUUUUAUGAUCUGGACAUACGUGUACAGUGAGCCAUAUUGUGACUACAAUGAAUGGGAGAGGCUCAGUCCCAUAGAUUGGGCAUUAUUCCAAAUUCCUUCAUUGUUCCAUUAUUCCAACUAUUCUAUGUGUUCAUCUGUGAAUGUAAUAAAUGGAGAUGUCAGUAGAACCCUGAAACGGACUUAUUUAUAUUUCCAUGCUCAAGAUUUAUAAUAAGACACCG